UACGAAGGGUGCAAGCGUUAAUCGGAAUCACUGGGCGUAAAGGGCGCGUAGGCGGCCUGCUAAGUAGAGGGUGAAAUCCUGCGGCUCAACCGCAGGGCUGCCUUCUAAACUGUCAGGCUGGAGCACGGUAGAGGCAGAUGGAAUUCCCGGUGUAGCGGUGGAAUGCGUAGAGAUCGGGAAGAACACCAGUGGCGAAGGCGGUCUGCUGGGCCGUUGCUGACGCUGAGGCGCGACAGCGUGGGGAGCAAACAGG
rnacentral:rRNA from 1 species